rnacentral:rRNA from 1 species
UAAUAGAUACCCGGGUAGUCCACGCCGUAAACGAUGAGUGCUAAGUGUUAGGGGGUUUCCGCCCCUUAGUGCUGCAGCUAACGCAUUAAGCACUCCGCCUGGGGAGUACGGUCGCAAGACUGAAACUCAAAGGAAUUGACGGGGGCCCGCACAAGCGGUGGAGCAUGUGGUUUAAUUCGAAGCAACGCGAAGAACCUUACCAGGUCUUGACAUCCCGCUGACCGGCCUAGAGAUAGGCUUUUCCCUUCGGGGACAGCGGUGACAGGUGGUGCAUGGUUGUCGUCAGCUCGUGUCGUGAGAUGUUGGGUUAAGUCCCGCAACGAGCGCAACCCUUGAUCUUAGUUGCCAGCAUUCAGUUGGGCACUCUAAGGUGACUGCCGGUGAUAAACCGGAGGAAGGUGGGGAUGACGUCAAAUCAUCAUGCCCCUUAUGACCUGGGCUACACACGUGCUACAAUGGACGGUACAGAGGGUCGCAACCCCGCGAGGGUGAGCUAAUCCCAUAAAACCCGUUCUCAGUUCGGAUUGUAGGCUGCAACUCGCCUA